UACAGUAUGUUUCAGGUUAAGUUCGUUUCACAGGUUAUUGAGAAGGCCAUGCCCGUUUGAUGAUGAGCCUGUGGACGCGGAGGCGUAGCUUAUACAAGGAUUCUCCCGCCGUGAAAGGCUCAUAAGGCCACGUACAGUAUUGAUGUGUUUUCACAUCCUGAUGAUUAUUUGAAGGAGCGUUAUCACUUUUCUAAAGAAUUCUUAAUGUAUUUAACAAACCUUUUGAAACCUUUAAUUUCAAACAUAACAAACCACAGGUCUGUGCUAACCACAGAAAUCAUUCUGGCAAUAGCUCUUAUUUUUUUGCGUCAUAUUUUUUGGACAUUUUUUGUAUAAUUUGGGCAAUGCAGAGCAUGUGGGAAAGGCAACGGCAAUAUGUGAUGCCACCCAUCUAAUCACGAAUAUGGAAACGAAAUGGCCAGGGUCAGUACAUGACUCGAAAAUCGUCAGGGAGUCAUCACUAUGCCACACGUUUCAACGGGGACAAUGGCUACUUGCUGGGGGACAGAGGGAACCCAUGUCUACCCUAUUUAAUGACCCUACCCUGAACCCUAGCCUGGUUCAGGGUAGGGUCCAGGUUCACCACGCAUGGGACAGAGCCAGCUCAUCAGAUGGGAUCAGGGGAGGUGGUGGUGGACCCCCACCUAUCUGACGAGUCUCUGCCUUCUUUCUAUUAGCUACAGAAGAAAUACAUUAAAACAUGUUUAAUACAUAGAUAUAAUUGUGUAAUCAAAUCUUUCGUAGGAUGUUUUUGUGUUUCAUCUUGACUUCUUGACAGAGUUGGUCUUGCUCCAGAAGGAUUACACCUUAUUAAACAAGAAUAUUACUAUUAUCCAAUAUUAUUCUAAUAUUAUGAAACUGAUAGUACAAAUGAUGUGGAAGUUAUGUUUAACUUUCCAUCAUAAUAAAAGAGGAGAGGGAAACAUAACUAUAAUUAAAUGAACUCACGCAUUUACAAUGUCAAAAAACUUGUCUAAGUGCCAACUACCUUGUUCGGUAGCCAAACAGCUGUUCAAGUCCGCAAAGUCCUGAUAAGAUGGUUCUUUCCUCAUUUUAUUAAAGAGUAGACUCCG